UCUUGGUCAUUUAGAGGAAGUAAAAGUCGUAACAAGGUCUCCGUUGGUGAACCAGCGGAGGGAUCAUUACUGAGUUUACAACUCCCAACCCAUGUGAACAUACCUUUUGUUGCUUCGGCGGGAUGCCCCCGGCGCCUAGUGUGCCCGGGAAUCAGGCCCCCGCCGGAGGACCCAAACUCUUGUUUUUAUAUAGAACUUCUGAGUGGAUUAUUUUAAUAAUUAAAACUUUCAACAACGGAUCUCUUGGUUCUGGCAUCGAUGAAGAACGCAGCGAAAUGCGAUAAGUAAUGUGAAUUGCAGAAUUCAGUGAAUCAUCGAAUCUUUGAACGCACAUUGCGCCCGCCAGUAUUCUGGCGGGCAUGCCUGUCUGAGCGUCAUUUCAACCCUCAAGCAACUUCUGCUUGGUGUUGGGGAUCGGCCGUUAAACGCCGCCCCCGAAAUCUAUUGGCGAUCUCGCUGUAGCUUCCUAUGCGUAGUAGUAACAUCUCGCAUCUGGAGAGCGGCGCGGUCAUGCCGUAAAACACCCAACUUUUCAGGUUGACCUCAGAUCAGGUAGGAAUACCCGCUGAACUUAAGCAUAUCAAUAAGCGGAGGA
rnacentral:rRNA from 1 species